GACGUAGGGCGCGAGCGUUGUCCGGAUUUAUUGGGCGUAAAGAGCUCGUAGGCGGCUUGUCGCGUCGUCCGUGAAACCCCGGGGCUCAACUCCGGGCUUGCGGGCGAUACGGGCAGGCUAGAGUUCGGUAGGGGAGACUGGAAUCCUGGUGUAGCGGUGAAAUGCGCAGAUAUCAGGAGGAACACCGGUGGCGAAGGCGGGUCUCUGGGCCGAUACUGACGCUGAGGAGCGAAAGCGUGGGGAGCGAACAGG
rnacentral:rRNA from 1 species